rnacentral:rRNA from 1 species
AACGCGAAGAACCUUACCCACCUUUGACAUGUACGGAAUCCUUUAGAGAUAGAGGAGUGCUCGAAAGAGAGCCGUAACACAGGUGCUGCAUGGCUGUCGUCAGCUCGUGUCGUGAGAUGUUGGGUUAAGUCCCGCAACGAGCGCAACCCUUGCCAUUAGUUGCUACGAAAGGGCACUCUAAUGGGACUGCCGGUGACAAACCGGAGGAAGGUGGGGAUGACGUCAAGUCCUCAUGGCCCUUAUAGGUGGGGCUAGAAACGUCAUACAAUGGCCGGUACAAAGGGUCGCUAAGCCGCGAGGUGGAGCCAAUCCCAUAAAGCCGGUCGUAGUCCGGAUCGCAGUCUGCAACUCGACUGCGUGAAGUCGGAAUCGCUAGUAAUCGCGGAUCAGAAUGCCGCGGUGAAUGCGUUCCCGGGUCUUGUACACACCG